rnacentral:lncRNA from 1 species
GGGUGCCUUUUGUGGUAUGGAGUGAGGCGCGGGGGCGGGCUAAAGCGGUGAUUGGCCCGCAGCGCAUCGCGUCAUAGCCGUCACUCGGGAUUGGUUCUUUGCUAAUAAAUCACUUCUGCGCAGAUGUAGGUCGGAGCUCAAGAUUCGUGCCGAUAACUAUAGCUAAAUGGUGCGACUCACCGUAAAAUUCUUUUAGCAUUUAUGGAUUUUUAUUUUAUUUUGAGUGUAAUUCGUAAAACAUAGGAAUUGGGUGUUAUUAUAAGUUAUUUUAAAUUAAAUAAUAAUUAAUAAUGUUGGAAAUAUCUGCCGCUUUAAUAAUAUUGUUGUCACUUAAUUAUUAUUGUUUUACGUGCAUGUGACAUAAAUUCGGUCUCAAAAGGCAUUUAUUUUGUAAAAACUGUCUCAAUAAACGUUUAAUUUGCUACUA